GACGAACGCUGGCGGCGUGCUUAACACAUGCAAGUCGAACGGAAAGGCCCUGCUUUUGUGGGGUGCUCGAGUGGCGAACGGGUGAGUAACACGUGAGUAACCUGCCCUUGACUUUGGGAUAACUUCAGGAAACUGGGGCUCAUACCGGAUAGGAGCUCCUGCUGCAUGGUGGGGGUUGGAAAGUUUCGGCGGUUGGGGAUGGACUCGCGGCUUAUCAGCUUGUUGGUGGGGUAGUGGCUUACCAAGGCUUUGACGGGUAGCCGGCCUGAGAGGGUGACCGGCCACAAUGGGACUGAGAGACGGACCAGAAUCCUACGGGAGGCAGCAGGGGGGAAUAUUGCACAAUGGGCGGAAGCCUGAUGCAGCAACGCCGCGUGCGGGAUGACGGCCUUCGGGGUGUAAACCGCUUUCGCCGGUGACGAAGCGUGAGUGACGGUAAUGGGUAAAGAAGCACCGGCUAACUACGUG
rnacentral:rRNA from 1 species